AGCCAAUGAUGAUUAGUACUAUAUUUGCGUAAUGUAUGAAAAAUUAUGAUUACGUUAAUUCUACUGCCUUCCUUCUGAGGCUUUUUGUUUUCAUGUUUUUUUUAUAAGUUUUUGGUUUUCUUGUUUUAAUGAAGAUUGAGAAGUUCAAAUGAUGAUCAAUUGCAUAGUUCAAAUGACUGUCUGUGAUUAGAAAUUAUUUAGUCUUUCGCUCCUAUCUGAUGAACUUC
rnacentral:lncRNA from 1 species